rnacentral:rRNA from 1 species
UACAUGGGGUGCAAACGUUGCUCGGAAUUAUUGGGCGUAAAGCGCGCGUAGGCGGUUACUCAAGUCGGAUGUGAAAGCCCUCGGCUUAACUGAGGAAGUGCACCCGAAACUGAGUAGCUAGAGUACUAAAGAGGGUCGCGGAAUUCCCGGUGUAGAGGUGAAAUUCGUAGAUAUCGGGUGGAACACCGGUGGCGAAGGCGGCGACCUGGGUAGAUACUGACGCUGAGGCGCGAAAGCGUGGGGAGCAAACAGG